GCAGGGCCUUAUAAGAAAAUAUAAAAAUUUAAGGGAAAUGACGGGAACGACUGAGGAGCAAAAAUUGGGGCUCCCGUGUUCUACACAAAGUAGCCCGAUUAGGGCAUAAGCCAGAGCAAGACGAAGACGACGAUAAGGACGAUGACUGCGACGAGGAGGAGAAUGGCGAUAAAUAGUUGUAGAGGUACAUGUAUAAAACUUUUUCUUUAAACAAGAAUCAGAUUCUCUUUAUGGGAAUAGAUCUUGAACAGCCUUCAGGGGAACAUCAUGAGGGAAAAAGACAAAAUUUGAAUGUUAUUAUGGUGGACACUGGAGAUGAAUUGCAUGAUAGGGAUCAACUGGCUGUGAAUUCUUCUAAUAUUGCUGGAAAUGAUAAGGAAAACAAUGGAAAUUUGGGCAGAAGAAUUUUAGAUGGCACACACAAUGUGCAUCCUGGAGAUGGAGUAAAUUUGAAUUCUUCUACAAAUUUAGAGCCCCAUGAUGGGAUGGAAUUUGAAUCGAAGGAGGAAGCUUUUUCAUUUUAUAAAGAAUAUGCGAAGUCUGUCGGAUUUGCCACCAUAAUAAAGGCCAGUCGUCGAUCAAGGAUUUCUGGAAAAUUUAUUGAUGCAAAGUUUGUAUGUACCAGAUAUGGGAACAAGCGGGAAUGUGGUACUGCUGAAGUUCCACAACCUGUUUCCAGUGUAGAUGGCACUGCAAUUACUUCAAUCAAGAAAAAACGUGGUAGAAUUAAUCAAUCUUGGUCAAAAACUGAUUGCAAGGCCUGCAUGCAUGUAAAGAGAAGGCAAGAUGGAAGAUGGGUAAUUCGUAGUUUCAUAAAAGAGCAUAAUCAUGAAAUAUUUCCAGAUCAAGCCUAUUAUUUUCGGGGUCAUAGGAACAUCAAUCUUGGUAAUGGUAAUGUUGAUGCCUUGCAUGCUAUCCGAGCCAGAACAAAAAAGAUGCAUGUUUCUAUGUCCAGACAAGCUGGUGGACAUAAGAAAAUUCAGAAUCAGAAUGUUGGGAUCAAAAAUCAAUUUGUUGGUGGAAAACAGUUGGCUUUAGAGCAUGGAGAUGCAAAAGUCAUGCUAGACCAGUUUUUGUACAUGCAGGAUGAGAAUCCUAACUUCUUUUAUGCAAUAGAUUUGAAUGAAGAACAGUGUUUGAGAAAUGUUUUAUGGGUUGAUGCAAAAGGUAGAAUUGAUUAUGUAAAUUUCAAUGAUGUUGUGUUUUUUGACACAACAUAUAUAAAAAAUGAAUAUAAAUUGCCAUUUACUCUCUUUAUUGGAGUGAACCAUCACUUUCAGUUCUUGUUGCUUGGAUGUGCAUUAGUUGCCGAUGAGACUAAAUCAACAUUUGUUUGGUUGAUGCGGGCAUGGCAUCGAGCAAUGGGUGGCCAAGCUCCAAAAGUGAUUCUUUCGGACCAAGAUAAUGCCUUGAAACAGGCCAUUGCAGAGGUCUUUCCAGGUUCUCGUCACUGUUUCUGUUUGUGGCAUAUAUUGAGCAAGAUUCCUGAAAAGCUUAGCUAUGUAAUGAGGCAAAAUGAAAAUUUUGUGGCAAAAUUUAACAAAUGCAUUUUUAAGUCUUGGACGGAUCAACAGUUUGAAAAGAGAUGGUGGAAAAUGGUUGAUAGGUUUGAUCUAAGAAAAGAUGCAUGGCUUCAAUCACUGUACGAAGAUCGUAGGCGAUGGAUGCCAACAUACAUGAGAGACAUUUUUCUGGCUGGGAUGUCUACAAGCCAACGGACAGAAAGUAUCAAUUCCUUUUUUGACAAGCACAUGCUAAGGAAAACUACACUGAAAGAGUUACUAGACCAACACAAAAUAAUUUUGCGGGAAAAGUAUGAGGAGGAAGCAAAAGCAGACUUUGAGACUUGGCAUAAGCAACCAGGAUUAAAAUCUCCAUCACCUUUUGGAAAACAAAUGGCAGCAUUGUACACCCAUGCAAUUUUCAAGAAAUUUCAAGUAGAGGUUUUGGGAGUAGUGGCUUGUCAUCCAAAAAAAGAAAGUGAAGAUGGAGCAAAUGUAACAUAUAAGGUUCAAGAUUUUGAAGAGAAUCAAGAUUUCCUUGUGGCGUGGAAUGAAACAACCUCAGAUAUCUCUUGUUUGUGUCGCUCAUUUGAGUACAAUGGUUUUCUUUGUAGACAUGCAAUGAUUGUUCUACAGAUGUCUGGUGUGCACAACAUCCCAUCUCAAUAUAUAUUGAAACGCUGGACUAAGGAUGCAAAAAACAGAGAAGCAACAGGACAAAGUUUGGAUGUGCUUGAGUCUAGGGUGCAGCGAUAUAAUAAUUUAUGUCGACGGGCCUUCAAAUUGGGCGAUGAAGGGUCGUUAUCUCAAGAGAGUUACAAUAUUGCAUACAAUGCAUUGGAAGAAGCGUUGAGAAAAUGUGAGAAUAUGAAUAAUUCAAUUCAGAAUGUAAUAGAACCUAGCUUAUCAGCAACUCAUGGUCUUCAUGACUUCGACGAAGUGAACCAAGGAAACAGUAGAAGCAAAAUGAACAAAAAGAGCAGUACAUCCAAAAACGGAAAGGUACAUUUCGAGUCAGAGGUUGUAACCAUUGGGAUGCAUGAUAGGUGGCAACAAAUGGGACACUCUAAUUUACGAGCACCAACAGCCCUUGAUUGUUCUUAUGCUACACAAGAGAGCAUACAAGGGAUGGAACAAUUAAACUCGAGAACUCCAACCCUUGAUGGCUAUUUUGGCAUGCAGCAAGUUGUGCAAGGAAUGUUGAACUCAAUAGCUCCAAACCAUGAUGAUUACUAUGGCAAUCAAUCGACCAUGCAUGGGCUGGGGCAGUUGAACUCAAUUGCCAGGAUCCAUGAUGGUCAUUACAUGACUCAACAAAGGAUGCAUGUUCUGGGACAGUUGCAUUUCAGACCACAAACUAUUCAGAGUUGUUUCGACUUUCAGGAUGGUUUGCAAGACAUGGACCAGUCUAAUAUGGCAUCAGUGCAGUUGGAUGGCAUAGCGUCAAAACAUUUGCAUUCAAAGCAUCUCUCUCAAUAGCAGUUUUAGCCGUGAUGGUGUGAAAGUUGUCAUAUUUUACUUGGGUUUUACAUCUUUGUCUACCUAGGCAUUUUAUCGUAAAAAAUUAAGUUGAUCGCAGGUUCCUUUUGAUUUGCGCCCUUCGUUCUUUUUUUUUUUGCUUGAAAAUGUCUAAUUUUCCGCACUUUAAUAGCUGAACUUCUAAAGUCAGUUGCUCCUGCUUUCUGUAUCAAGGGUGUGAAGGAAGAAUGUGCAACUGGUGCUGUCACAGUUCAUAGCCUGUGCUGGAACAUGUUUUUUGUGCUGGGAUGAUUUACAGCCCGAUCGCAAGCAGUGUGGAGGCAGGGCAAGGUACUUGUACAGGAUUAAAACGAGCUCAAGAGUGCGAACUUCUUGUUUUCUGGAUCGGCACUGACGUAGUUAGCUUAAGUGUAAGAUUGAUUACUCAUUUAUUUUGGUGGAUUGUUGUUGUUGAGCUACACUGAUGUUGAUACACAGAAAACACCAGUAGAGUUGAGGAUUCUGAUCUCGGAAGAGCUGGAGUGCUCUUUGUAAAUGGGGUUGUGGGUCCUAAUUUGUAAAUGGGUGUACGACUCUGGAUUGUCCCAAAAGAACUCAGAUGUUGAGGCCAUUUAGUUGAGUAUAUAUUUUCUAGUUUAAUUUUGGAAAAAAAAAAAUAUAAAAAAAGUUAACUAA